ACCAAACGUUUCUGAUAUUUUCCCGGUGCUUGCAAGGUUUGACAUACAGGGAUUGGAGAAGGAGAUGACUAAAAUCGUUAAUUCUUUCGAUAAGCUUUUCAACUCCAUGAUUGAAGAAAGAGAGAACUUUAGCAACAAAUUGAGCAAAGAAGAUGGAAACACUGAAGCAAAAGACUUCUUGCAGCUUCUUUUGGACCUCAAGCAGAAGAACGAUAGCGGAAUAUCGAUAACAAUGAAUCAAGUCAAGGCCUUGCUCAUGGUAAGCUUCUUCAUCUAUCAUACUGCAUAGAUCAUCUUUCUUUUUUAUUACCUUAUUUUCUUGGGAUGCUAAUAAGUUUUUUUUUUAAUCAGGACAUUGUGGUGGGUGGAACUGAUACAACAUCAACCAUGAUGGAAUGGACAAUGGCUGAACUAAUUGCAAAUCCUGAAGCAAUGAAAAAGGUGAAGCAAGAAAUAGACGAUGUUGUCGGUUCGGAUGCCGCCGUCGAUGAGACUCACUUGCCUAAGUUGCGCUAUCUAGAUGCUGCAGUAAAGGAGACCUUCCGAUUGCACCCACCGAUGCCACUCCUUGUACCCCGUUGCCCGGGCGACUUAAGCAACGUUGGUGGCUAUAGCAUACCAAAGGGCACCAGGGUCUUCUUAAACAUUUGGUGUAUUCAGAGGGAUCCACAGCUUUGGGAAAAUCCUUUAGAAUUCAAGCCUGAGAGGUUCUUGACUGAUCAUGAGAAGCUCGAUUAUUUAGGAAAUGAUUCCCGGUACAUGCCGUUUGGUUCUGGAAGGAGAAUGUGUGCCGGAGUAUCUCUCGGUGAAAAGAUGUUGUAUUCCUCCUUGGCGGCAAUGAUCCAUGCUUAUGAUUGGAAUUUGGCCGACGGUGAAGAAAAUGACUUGAUUGGCUUAUUUGGAAUUAUCAUGAAGAAAAAGAAGCCUUUAAUUCUUGUUCCUACACCAAGACCAUCAAAUCUCCAGCACUAUAUGAAGUAACUUUACUAUUGUAUUUCUUUUAUACCACUUUAUUUCCUCUUUGUCAUGUUUAGGCAACAAUUCUAAGUAAUAAGUUUGGCUAUAUGGUGAAGAAUAAUGUGUUUAUUAUACAUCAUAAGCAAUGAGCUCUUUCCCGACCCUAGAGCAAUACAAUGAUACUGUGUAUUAAGUGAAAUCAACAAAUUUUUAUUCUAAAAUGCAUUUUUGUGCUCAAGAUUUUGAAUUUGCUUAAAUUCUUACUAUUCAACUCGAUUAUAGAAAAUUAGGUACAAUAUCUAAAUUGCCCAUAUCCUCAUAAGUUCUCAGCUAGUUGCCCUAUAAAGGACAGGCGUGAUGGUGAUCUCAGUGUGCAUCGAAAGCCUACAGGCGAACAUGAACUGGAGGUGGUUUCGUGGUAAAUGUCAAAGCUAUGAAAAGUUAUUGGAUGCUUUCUUACCUCAAAAGAGAAGUGAAAGGAGUUUAUAAGGUUUAACCACAGUUACAAAACAAGAAAAACAAAGAUUAAAGAAAACCAAAUCCUUUCCUCUUCUCUACAUUAGGGACCUCUCCGUGCCAGUACGAAAUCUCAGAUCACAUAUUAAAACGAUAAACUAGAUCAAAUCCAAGACAAUCACUCAUCUACUAGAGAAUGAAUAAGACCUUCUAGCUGCUCAAGACAUCUGUUUCAUGACACUCAGCUAGGAUGAUUGAUGUUUUGCCUCUGUCCCCACAACCUCUUGAACCACCGUCGGAGCUUCUUCGAUCCACCAGACAUCAUGUUUUCGUCGAAAUCCUUCAUUGGCUAGUAGGUGGGCUACUCGAUUUCCCCCUCUUUAUAUGUUAGAACUUGAUUCUGUUGAACAUGGACUGUAAUGCAACAAAAGGCCAGGAAGCAGACAAGCAGCUGCAGCAGACCAGCAUUCGAGUAGGACCAGAAACAGCUUGGUUCUUUUGUUUACUUUUGAUUAUUUUGUAAUGCUAUCAAAGCUUGAAUGUAACUAGACCUUAGAGUUGUUAGGAUUUGAAUUUGAUAAAUGUAAUGGCUGAAUUAUUCAACUCUUUAAUUCGUAUUGUUUUGUAGUGCAACUUGCUAAAACUGAUGGGAGCAGUUACAAAUGUUAGGUAACUGUCAUACUUUUUUUGUAACACCAUAUAUUUCAAAGUUUCAAUGAGAAAACUGAUUUUGCUUCAUCGGUUACUAGUUGUUCUUAGUCUUCCAUCUUUUUCAUUGUUUUUCUUUGCUGUUUAUGCUCUAUGAAGUUUCAUUUUUCUUUGUUUGCUGCUACCAUUGUUCCAACAAAUGGUAAUCAGAGCCUCCUAUCUUUGAGGACCUCUGCUGUUUAAGUUUUAGUUUUCAAAACAAAGUCAGAAUCAUGUUUGCAAAGUCAGUUUCAGCAGCAUGAGUUUUGCUCCUCCUCCACCACUAAUUUUUUCUGGAGAUAACUACCACAUUUGGGUAGUCAAGAUGAAGACAUAUCUCCAAGCACUUGACCUCUGGAGUGCAGUUGAAAGUGACGUCGAGCCACCAUCAUUAAGAGCAAAUCCUACCAUUGCUCGGAUCAGACAACAUGGUGAGGAACGAGCCAAGAAGCACAAAGCUAUAGCCUGUCUGCAGAAUGGUGUGUCUGAUGUUAUCUUUACUCGCAUCAUGGCCUGUGACUCUCCUAAGCUGGCAUGGGACAGGCUGAAAGAGGAGUUUAUGGGAUCAGACAAGACCAGGUAGCAACAAGUCAUCAACCUGAGAAGGGAGUUUGAAAAUUUAAAAAUAAAGGAGUCAGGAACUAUUAAACAGUAUUAUGAUAGAAUAAUGGCUAUUGUCAAUAACAUAAGACUCCUAGGAGAGGAUUUUAGUGACAGUAGAGUGGUUGAGAAGGUGAUUACCACUCUUCCAGAGAUAUUUGAAUAAAAAAUCUCCUCACUGGAGGAUUCGAGGGACCUCACAACCAUUUCAUUGUCUGAAUUGGUUAAUUCUCUCUAUGCACUCGAGCAGAGGAGAGCUAGCAGAUAGGAGGAGAACCCUGAAUGAGCCUUUCAAGCAAGAGCCAGAGAAGGUUCUAGCUCAAAUCAGAGAACUAAAAAACCUUGGUUUGAAAGAAAGGACAAAGCAAGGAGAGAAGCAAACAGAGAAGCAGGCAGAAGGAGGUUUCCACUAUGCAUUCACUGAAAAAAGACCAAUCAUUUGGAGAAAUUUUGCUGGACCAGACUAGACAUACAGUGUAAGAGUUGCAAGCAGUAUGGCCAUCAUGAGAAUAUUUGUAGAAAUCAUGAGAAGCCUUAAGAUCAGCCAGUACAAGCCAAGACUGCUGAGGACAUACAAGCUCAAGAGGAGCAUGUAUUCACUGCCUCAUGUUUUGCAGUCAACAACAAGUGUAGUUGGCUUAUGGACAGUGGUUGCUCACACCACAUGGCUGCUGAUGAGAGUUUGUUUAAGAACCUUGACAGGAGCUAUGUCUCGAAGGUCAGGAUAGGUAAUGGGAACUUGAUUGAAGCAAAUGUCAGAGGUGAUGUUGUGAUCUACACUGGAUUAGGUAACAAAGUCAUUUCUGAUGUUCUCUUUGUGCCAGAAAUUAAUCAGAAUUUGCUUAAUGUAGGCCAUUUAGUCAAGAAAGGCUAUUUUCUAGUUUUCAAGAAUGAUUCUUGUGUUAUAAGUGAUGCUCAUGGUAGGGAGAUAGUCUCAGCACCUAUGGCAGACAAGUGUUUCAUGUUGGAUGUGAGUCAGCUUGAGAAAAGUGCCUAUACAAGCUCAGUUGAUAAUACUGAUCUUUGGCACAAGAGGUUUGGCCAUGUUAAUCUCAAGUCACUCAAUUUACUGCACAAAAUGAGUAUGACAGAGGAGAUGGUGAAGGUUAAUGUAAGUGAAUCAGUUUGUGAGGUGUGUCAGCUUGGUAAAUAGGCUAGGCUGCCUUUUCUAGCAAACCAGGCAUGGAGGGCUCGAGACAUACUUGAGCUGGUGCACUCAGAUGUCUAUGGACCAAUGAAGACACCUUCAUUGAAUGGUAGUAAGUACUUUAUAUUGUUUAUUGAUGAUUUAACCAGAUUUUGCUGGGUUUACUUUAUGAAACAGAAGUCAUAGGUGUUUGAAAUGUUUGGAAAGUUCAAGGCUUGGGCAGAAAAUCAAGCAGGCUGCAAGAUUAAGGCUUUAAGAACAGACAAUGGUUCUGAAUACUUGUCUGAAAGAUUUCAGAAGCUAUGUGAGCAGGAUGGAAUCCAUCAUCAGCUGACCAUAGUGUACACUCCUCAGCAAAAUGGAGUGAGUGAGAGGAAGAACAGGACAAUGAUGAACAUGACUAGGUGUUUGUUGUUCCAAAGCAAGCUUCCAGGCAUUUUUUGGGCUGAAGGUGUCAAUACUUUAGUAUACUUGCUCAAUAGGCUACCAACACAUGCUGUGAAGGACAAUACCCCUUUUGAAGCUUGGUAUAGUCUUAAACCUGUUGUCUCACAUUUAAAAUUGUUUGGCUGCAUAUGUUAUGUACUUGUACCAGCAGAAAGAAGGACCAAACUUGAGAAGAGGUCAAUUGCUGGCAUAUUUGUUGGCUACAGUAGCUGUAAGAAGGGCUACAGAAUAUUUGAACCCUCGACCAAGAAGAUUUUGGUAAGUAGGGAUGUUAAAUUUGAUGAAACAAGGUUUUGGAACUUUGAUGGUUCAGAUACAAGUCAGUUUGAAGAAGAGAAAGGUGAUAGCAACCUGGAAUUGGCAGAAAGUGAAGUCAGUAAUGCCAAUGUUGAUGAUGAUUCUGUGAGAGGGACCAGGUCCAUUGCUGAACCCCAAGCUAUGAAGAGGCUGCUAGAAUUAAGAGUUGAAAGAAAGCUAUGGAGUCUGAGAUCGAUAUGAUCCACAAAAAUGACACUUGGGAUCUAGUGGACAGACUUGAACAGAAGAAAGCCAUUGGUGUCAAGUGGGUUUACAAGGUCAAGUUCAAUGUAGAUGGCUCUCUGAAUAAGCACAAGGCAAGGCUUGUGGUGAAAGGGUACAACCAACAGUUUGGCAUUGAUUUUGAGGAAACUUUUACUCCAGUAGCAAGGCUGGAUACUAUAAAGUUACUAUUUGCCUUGGCUGCACAGAAACAGUGGAAGGUUCACCAGCUUGAUGUCAAGUCAGCCUUCUUAAAUGGCUUCCUUAAAGAGGAGAUUUAUGUUGAACAGCCUGAUGAAUUUAAAGUUCAAGGAAAGGAAGACAAGGUUUAUAGGCUAAAGAAGGCACUUUAUGGUUUGAAGCAGGCCCCUCGAGCCUGGUAAGACAGAAUUGAUGAAUAUCUGUCUAAACUCAACUUUGACAAAAGCUUGAGUGAACCAAAUUUGUUUGUGAAGAAGUCUAAAGAUGAGACACUAUUGAUUGUGUUAAUAUAUGUGGAUGAUUUGUUAGUGACUGGAAGCAAAAUUGAGAUGAUUCAAGAGUUUAAGGAAAAAAUGCAAGUCAUGUUCGAUAUGACAGACUUGGGAACUAUGAGCUAUUUCCUUGGUAUGGAAGUGAGUCAGGUUGAUCAAGGCAUUUUUAUUAGUCAGCAUGCAUUUGCCUUAAAGAUACUCACUAAAUUUCAUAUGGAAAAUUUCAAGCCAGUGAGUACACCUCUGGUUAUAGGACUGAAGUUGAGCAGCUAUGGAAAUGAAGAAAAAGUGGAUGAAAGGGAGUAUAGAAGUAUAAUUGGAUGUUUACUAUACUUAACAGCAACUAGACCUGAUCUUAUGCACUCGGUCAGUUUGCUAUCUCGUUUCAUGCAUAGCUGCAACACAUCACAUUUAAAGGCAGCAAAGAGAAUCCUCAGGUAUGUCAAAAGAACCUUGAAAUUUGGAGUGAUGUUCAAGUCAGGAAGUAAGUUGAAGUUAACUGGCUACUCAGACAGUGACUGGGGAGGUUCGAUUGAUGAUAUGAGGAGUACCUCAGGCUACCUUUUUACACUUGGUUCGGGAGCUUUCUGUUGGAGCUCUAAAAAGCAACAAACGGUUGCUCAAUCAACUGCUGAGGCAGAGUAUAUAGCAGCAGCUGGAGCAGUAAGCCAGGCUAUUUGGCUUAGAAAAUUGUUGUGUGAUUUGAAUAAGGAACAAUUUGAACCUACCGAGAUUAUGGUUGAUAAUCAGUCAGCAAUAGCUAUCUCCAAGAAUGCUGUUUUUCAUGGCAAAACAAAACAUUUUAAACUUAAAUUCUAUUUUGUUCGAGAGGCAGUGCAAUCAAAGGAUGUAAGUCUUGCACAUUGUAGCUCACAAGACCAAUUGGCUGAUAUUCUGACAAAGCCUCUUGGUACUAUGAGGUUUGAAUUUCUUAGAGAAUCAGUUGGUGUUUGUUGCCUACAGUCCAAGGAGGAGUGUUGAACAUGGACUGCAAUGCAACAAAAGGCCAGGAAGCAGACAAGCAGCUGCAGCAGACCAGCAUUCGAGCAGGACCAGAAGCAGCUUGGUUCUUUUGUUUACUUUUGAUUAUUUUGUAAUGCUAUCAAAGCUUAAAUGUAACUAGACCUUAGAGUUGUUAGGAUUUGAAUUUGAUAGAUGUAAUGGCUGAAUUAUUCUGCUCUUUAAUUUGUAUUAUUUUGUCGUGCAACUUGCUAAAACUGAUGGGAGCAGUUACAAAUGUUAGGUAACUGCCAUACUUCUUUUGUAACACCAUAUAUUUCAAAGUUUCAAUGAGAAAAUUGAUUUUGCUUCAUCGGUUACUGGUUGUUCUUAAUCUUCCAUCUUUUUCAUUGUUUUUCUUUGUUGUUUUGUGAGCUUAUACUCUGUUGUGAAGUUUCAUUUUUCUUUGUUUGCAGCUGCCAUUGUUCCAACAGAUUCUUUCAAAGCUCGCAGAAAUUUAUGUCGCUUCCCAGAUAAAUUUACUAGUUAUCAAUUUGUCAAUGCAUGUCGCUUUAAGCUUCUUUAUUACCACCAAGGAGUCGCCUUCUACUUCCACAAACCGGAAACCCAUCUCCUGAGUGAAUCUGAUUGCUUAGGUACUUGCUAAGGCCUCUGCAGUUAGAACAUCAAGUAUGUAACAAUUCCAUAAGCAAGUUGUGUCCAUAAUAAACCCUUCAUUGUUUUUUUAAGAUAAUAAAUGUCCUUAAUCCUUCCAGAUCCUUGUUGAAGCUUACAUCGAAGUUUACCCGAACAAAAGGCUCCAAAGGAGGUCGCCACCCUAUUGACUUUGUUGGCUUAAGCUUUAACUGUUCCCUUGUUAGUGUUUCUAAUUCUCUAGUAUAACCCAAUGUUUCUAAUUCUCUAGCAUAACCCAAUACAAAGGUAAAAGUCUCAAAACUUGUUUGCUGUUUGCUUUCAUGCACCAACCUAUUCCUUGAGAGCUAAAUUGCCCAAAUUGCUACAAUAAUAAUUAGCUUUUGAUAAUUGCUCCUCCCAUUGAAUAAUUUUCCAACCGACUUACCAAAGAGUGCUCUACUUGGCUUAUCACCCAAUUGAUUCCCAAUUUGUACCAAACCUGUAAGGCUAUUGUGCAAUCUAAGCAUGUUUUUAGACUGCAAAGUAAGGGGAGAAUAGGUCUCUUCGAUUGGGUGCCAUGCUAUCUACCAAUUCAAUUCACAAGCUCAUGAUCUAAAUUUGUAGAGAUUUGAAAAUAUAGUUCGGUUGAUUGAUAAUAUAACAUUUCAUUUUACAUCAUAUUUUACCUUAAAAUGUUACCUUAAAUUUUUCUUAAAAAUUACAUUCGUGAAAUUUGAUUUUAAAAUUAAUAUAAAGUAUUUGAUAAAUGCAUUUCACUUUUGUUGUUGAGAAAGAAAAAAAAUAUGAUCCUUUUCUUUUAGGGAAAUAAAUAUACUUAAAAAAAUAAUAAUUCCAUAUGUAUGUAAUUUCCAGUCAAUAAUAUAUUACUAAAAUACAUUUGAUCUUGAUAAUAAUACGAUUUUUUUUCUUUCUGGGAGAUAAAUUAAUUGUCUGCAGCAUUGUUGUGAGAUAGCCAAUCAUGCAAUAGCCCGUACAAAUGGCGAACAGUUUAAAUGCGAAUCACUUAGCGGAUUGUUAAUUAACGAACUGUCUCGUGGACUGACAUUAUGCAGACAAUCUAUAUGAUACAAGUCUGGCGGACUGUCAAGUGAGAACAAAUUUGCGGACACAUGAAGCUGCAAUCUGUAUGACGGGAUUGAAGAAAUGUGGAGUAUAUUCGUGAAAUGUGCCUGCGGACUGUAUCCGCAGUUAGAAUGAAGUUGUUUUGGUGCACGCUACCAGUGAUGAGUGCGUGUUUGUUUUAGAUAAAAUCAACCUUAGUUGGUAGAUUUUUUUUAUGUGUUUAAGUAAUGAUUCACAUAUUUGGUUAAUUUAUUUUAUGUACUCUUGUAAAAUAAUUCAUAUAUACUGUAAAGUUUGAAAAAAUGAAAUAUAGAGCAGACUCGAUAUACUGCUAAUUCUCUGUUUUGCUUUCUUUCUUUGUUCUUUAACACCCACAAGUAUCCUCCUCCAGGCAUGAACUAGGAUGAUAUGGUUAGAGAGAAAGGGAUUUUCAAGUGGUAAUCAAGAUUUCAAGAGGAAGCACUAGACCUGCAAACAGGUAAGUCUUUCUCAAAAGCUGGGGCAGCUCGAAGAAUUGGAUUGCUUUCGAAGAAAUUGACAGGCUUUAGCUCAAACCCUGAUGUCACUGUUGGCAUUACAGGGAAAUCUUCUUGGCAUGGAAUGUGAUGGAAUCCCAAUGUGUACCACAACACGAUAUCCUUAUUUUCAAUAGAACGAUCCCUGUUCUCGAUGGAUUAAAGCAGAAAAUCAGGGUAGAACGUAUGCAUUACAACAAUUGAUUCAUUUAUCGAGUUUUAUACCUUUCAGACCACACAGCAAGAGUGUCAUCUCCCCUACUUUGAUAAGUUAGAAGCCCACCAGCCCAUUGUUCACUCCUGUUAUAAGGAGUCACCCAUAUCUAUUCAAAAAAAGAGCUCAAUAAAGAGUGCAAAAUCAUUAACUCAAGAGCAAAAAAAGGAUAAAAGGGUUUUACCUGGUUGUUGGUGAAGGCGCUUCUUAGUUGUGGAGGAUCAUCAUGAUCAAGCAAACUAGCUGCAGUUCCUCCAGGAACAAUCUUGUAUCCUGUUGGAUUUCCUAGCCUAGACUUUUUAGAAGGAUUAAUCAUAUGAAACUCUGAGGGAUCAUACAAUUUAAGCUUAAUUUGUGCAUCUUUUUCAGUCUUAGCUAUUUUUCUCUUAGCUUUCAAGUAGCUCUUCCUAGGGGAUUCCCCUGGUAAACUCCGUUCCUUAACAAGAUUAACAUUAACAAACGAAUUGUUCGCCCCAUCGAUAUCCAUGUCGAGGUGAAAGGUAACAAAGUGAUCGUGAACUACUCCGAUAAGAUUCUCGGAAAUGAGAGGACCCGACAUGGCAUCUUGGUUAGGCGCUUGAUGGUAAGGACUGCCUUUCACCAUUAGCAUUCCUGAAAGCCCUACCUGUACAAAGUUAAAUCAUACAAAAUGAAUGGCAAACACUAUUGCUGAGGAAGAAGUUGAUGAAAAUUAAUGGCAUAAGGGAAUGACCUUAACAUUUAUUAAACCAUCUGUUUGAAACUCCCAAUCAAAGAUGUAAUCGUAGUUUCCCACUGAUGCUGCCAUACGAGCAACGAGAGUUACUUUUGGUCUUGCCUCCCUAAUCUACAAGUACAAUAAUGGAAAUAGAAAAACAAAUUAAAAUAUGUUUUCAUUGAUUAUAAUUUUUAUAAUGUUUGCAAUCUACUCUCUGUAUUUGAAAAGCUAAAAUCAAGUUCUCUUAAAUUUUUUUACUUUAAAAAUGAUUUAUUUAUGAAGUUGGUAUGAUUAUAGAGCUAGAACGAGCUAGAAUAAAAGUUUCACCUCUGUUAAAUUAAAUAGGAUUAUGUUAAAUUCAUAUUAUUCUUAUGAAGUUGGUAUGGUUAUAAAGCUAUAACGAUGUUAAAAUAAAAGUUUCACCUCUAUUAGAUUAAAUAGAAUCGUGUUAAGUUUAAAUUAUUUUAUAUCUUAAUUAAACAUUAAAAAUAGAUAGAAAUCAACUUUUGAAACAUGUUGCAAGACUCUCGUUCUUAAAAGUUUCUUUUUUUGGUAAAAAAGUUUCUUUUUUUGGUAAAAAAGUGUUUUCUAUACUAUCAAUUAUUUUCCCAUUUACUCAAAUUCAUAUCAAGCAAUAAGCAUACAAUAUAUGACACGUUUUUAAUUGGAUGUUGUAGACAACAUGAGAGGAAUUAUUAUUUAAGUACAUUUUCACCCGAACAACUUUAGUACUUAAGUGAAAAGAAAAAUAUAAUUUGUGGGCCUAUUUCGUAGUUAAGCUUAUUUUAAAAGUAUCAGGGUUUAUUAUUGUUACUAUUGUUGGAGUUAUUAUUACCUGGAAAUCAGUGAGUAGGCCCUCUGAAUGUCGCCAACUGAUGUCGCCGGCAUAGCGCUCAAACAGGCAAAUCAUGUUGGGUUGAACAAAUGGGUUUCCAUCGGGAGUAGCAAAAAUGCCGUUCAUGUAAUAAGAGUGCCUUGGACAAUCAUUUAGUGGCACAAGUGGAAGGGCUGACAUCCCUAAACCAUACUCACCAGCAUCCAUAUACGACUUAAAAUACCAGGACUCAUCAAGGUCCAUGUAUGGUACAAAAAAUUCUGAAGCGAACCCUUUGUACAUCACAUCCCUCAGCUCACCAUUCUCCGAGUCCCGUACCAUGACUCUUGAAAUCACCAAACCAGCGCGGUGGUCAGCCUUGAGGUGAAACACCCAGUUGGCCCACUUCACUAUAUGCCCAUCUUCAACUCUAAAACUUGGUCCUUUUGGUUGUUCUAUGGAAAUUGGGUUCAAUCGUUCCAUUUGUGGUUCCUUCGUUUGAGCUGUGUACCUGUAAUCUGUAUCGGUACUUUUUGGAAUGGGGAUUUCUCGGCCCGUAUCAGAGAAUUUCAGCACCUCCAAUGUAUCCAAGUCCACCGUCAUGACGAGCCCUUCAAUGGGCCUCAUGUAGAAAUUGGGUGUGCUUUCUUUAGAGUAACACAGGACCUUUACAACUCUUUUGCCUUCUUCAUUUGGCCCAAACCAGCCUGCCGAAGGUGGUAAGCAUAUCAAAUCUGAUGAUGGGACCCCUCGGGCGGCAAUGGAUUUGUUGAACUCCGCAUUAGAGAACGGCACUUUAGACGCUGCCAAAAUAUCAUCCACAGAUAGCAUCGGAUAGCCUGAGCUUGAAUUGAUGGCAUGGCUAGUGAUACUGCUAGAAUCCAAGUCCACGGUAAGCACAUGGGACUGGCCAUUCAACAGAGCCAAAACUUGUGCUUUUCUUGGAAGAAGUGCGUCACCUUUGCUCCACUUCAGAACCUUGACCUUGUCUGGUUCAUCGAGCUGUACAGUGUGAAUAGUAGGGAAGGUAAAUGAAAAGGGUUCAUAAGAUGAGAGGAUGGUCCGGACCUUGUUGAUUUCCUGCACAGUAAGAGGGUCCAGUGGAUGAUGAGGGGCCUCAGCUGAGUGGUCUAUCGAAGUUUGAGCUUGUGUCUCCAACACUGAGCUGGCCUUGGAGUUUGAGAAAAUCCGGUUCUUGGAGGUGGACCAUGGAGUUUGCAGUGUGGAAUUAGGCAAUGAUGAAUUGGUAGAACGGUACCAUGAACCUACAACAAUGAAUAAAACUAAACAUGAAAUGAAACAGAAAUGAAUACAUGAUGAUUUUUCCAUGAUCAGAUCAGAGUGGUUGUUUCUCUAAUUGUGAAUUUGUAAUUGAGCUUUUCAUGGCCACAAGAGAAUGUCGCCGUCCCAAUAGAAUUUGUCAUUUAGCAUUAUGGCAUUAAAAACUAUAAACUCUCCCCAUUAUUUAAAUCACCGUAUGACGAUUGUCCAUUAAAAUAUACUGACGGCUAAGGUGAUUAGAAUUGACUAGGUAAGAUAGGAAUCUCCUUUUUUAACCUAAAAUAUUCCAACUUGAUAAUUUUAAAUAUAUGAUUAAUUUUUUUAGUAAGGGUAAAUAACAUUAAAUUGUUAGUAAAUUUAUAUUUUGAUCACUCAAUUAAAAAUGUUACAAAAUAAUCACUAAACUAUUCGAAAGUUUUCAUUUAAAUCACAGAACUAUUUAAGAGUUUUUAUUAAGUCAUUGAACUGUUAAGUGUUUUUUUUUUUAAUCCAGCUAGCUAGCUUCAAAUGGAAAUUUGACGAUCAAUACAAUAGAUUAGCACCCAUAGACGAGUAGAGGAACAUACUUUAGAUCCAAGUCGAUCUAACGGUCAAACUCAAAGAUUAGAGGAACAUACUAGGGAAAGUAAUGCAUAGGUUGACUUAAAAAGUUCAAACCAUCCAAAGAAAAUUACUUAAGUAUAUUUAUCCGAGAAAUUAACAAGGAGAAAAAAGUGGUAAAAGUUUGAAAGGAUGCACCUUCGUAGGACGAAAAACCAUUAAAGAUUGAGAUGAAAGAGAGAAAAUAUACAGAGCUCCCAUGAUAAAAGAAUGAAUUAAGUAAUGUGAUCAGUGACUAAAAAGUGAAAAAAUUAGAAGAAUUCAUAAAAAGAACCCUUUCUCCUAAUUCCAAAAAAUAGAGACAGAGGUGCUUGUGAGAUCCACGUUGAGACUCUGUGCUUAAUUUUUGAGUUUUUUCUCUUUACUUUCUAAUUUAAAUUACUCAAAAAAUAUGUUGAUUAAAUUUUAAUUUGAUUGAUAUCGAUAUUGUUGUCAGUGUAGGAAGAUGUGGGUUCGAGUGCGCUGAAACACACUAUCCUCCUAUUUAGGAGUCGAGAAGGGUAGUUUUAGGAAUUAUAUAAAAAAACAUAUAAAAAUAUUAAAAAAUAUAAGAAAUAUUUAUCUAUUAUCAAACAUGUUGGAACAUUUUCAAAUAUUUGUAGUGUUCCAAUAACUAUAAAUGAAUGGGUGUAAUUAAUCAAAAGUUAUAUUAUUUGAUUUUUUAAAAAAGAAUUAUAACUAUUUAAAUAAUAUUAUUUGAAUAGUUAUAAUAUUAAAUGAAUAAUUAUGUGUUUAUUUUAAAGACAUUAUUAUUCAGAAAGACACCUAUUGAAAUAUGCCUCUAUAAGGAGACAUGACAAUUCCUAUAUAUAGGGAUGAGAUUUCAUUUGAAAAUCACACCAACAAAUUCUAAUAUUCUUUCUUUCAUUCCUUUAUUUUCUAAUAUUAUUAGAUUAUUUUAUAAAGUAUUACUGCAGAAAUCCUUUAUAGAAAUUGAGUUUCUUGUCAUACAUUGCUCAGUGUGUAGUGGCUAUUCUCGUCAGUGCAAAACGCAAAUAGUCAUUGGUUUCAUUGUAUCCUCGAGGUUAAUUUGCUUGGAACUCAUUGGCACACCGAAAAUAAGUGGGGGCGAAUAUAACCUUAAAGAUAGUGACUUGAUACACGCCUUAGAGCCUUGUCCUAUUUCUUCUUUUUCUGUUCGAGUUCCGUUCGUGUCAUGGAGAUUUUCUUCACCAAAGAUUUGUACUAACAAACACAUCUUUUAAAUAAAUGGUCCAGCACAACGUUAAUAUCAUAUCAAAUUUUCAAAUUAAUUCACACAAUAAUAUUCCCUAAACCCCUUAGACUGCUAAAAUGAUUUUUUGGAAUUUACAAUCAACAAUACAUUACUAAAAUACAUUUGAUUGUGAUAAUAAUAUGAUCUUUUUUUUCUCAAAGGUAGAUAAAUUGUAAGAUAUAUUCUAUUGCAGGCAUGGACUGGGAUCUUAUGGUAAGAGGAGCUUUCAAGUGCUAAUCAAGACUUCAAGGGGAAGCACUUGGCCUACAAACAGGUAAAUCUUUCUCAAAAGCUGGGGCAGCUCAAAGAAUUUGGUUGCUUUCGAAGAAAUUGACAGGCUUUAGCUCAAACCCUGAUGUCACUGUUGGCAUUACAGGGAAAUCUUCUUGGCAUGGAAUGUGAUGGAACCCCAAGGUGUACCACAACACGAUAUCCUUAUUUUCAAUAGAACGAUCCCUGUUCUCGAUGGAUUAAAGCAGAAAAUCAGGGUAGAACGUAUGCAUUAUAACAAUUGAUUCAUUUAUCGAGUUUUAUACCUUUCAGACCACACAGCAAGAGUGUCAUCUCCCCUACUUUGAUAAGUUAGAAGCCCACCGGCCCAUUGUUCACUCUUGUUAUAAGGAGUCACCCAUAUCUAUUCAAAAAAAGAGCUCAAUAAAGAGUGCAAAAUCAUUAACUCAAGAGCAAAAAAAGGAUAAAAGGGUUUUACCUGGUUGUUGGUGAAGGCGCUUCUUAAUUGUGGAGGAUCAUCAUGAUCAAGCAAACUAGCUGCAGUUCCUCCAGGAACAAUCUUGUAUCCUGUUGGAUUUCCUAGCCUAGACCUUUUAGAAGGAUUAAUCAUAUGAAACUCUGAGGGAUCAUACAAUUUAAGCUUAAUUUGUGCAUCUUUUUCAGUCUUAGCUAUUUUUCUCUUAGCUUUCAAGUAGCUCUUCCUAGGGGAUUCCCCUGGUAAACUCCGUUCCUUAACAAGAUUAACAUUAACAAACGAAUUGUUCAAACAAGGUGGCUGGAAAGUAUUAUCCAAAUAUCUUAUUUUGUAAGCUUUUAACUUUUGCAGAAAUAAGCAACGAAAUUGUAAUGCGAUCGAUAUAAUAUAUUAUCAACAAGUAUUCUCGAUUGAAUUUUAAAUCGAUUGAUAUCAAUAUCGUUUUAGGCAUUGUACCAAAUAUAUAUAUGUCAGUAUAAGAGUCAAAAUACAUUUUACCCAAAAAAUCUAAUAAUGUAGAGCUGUAGUCCACAAUACUGACUUAAUUUGUUUUCAUUCAACCCUCAAUACUGACAUCACUACAGAAGAACAAACCAGAAAUAUUUAUAAAGUUAAGAAGAUGAGCUUUGACUGGAAGUGUUGGGCAGGUUGGUACCGGCAAGGGAACGCCAUUGUUCUGGUGCUGCCAUUCCUAUAUCCUUUGGAGCCAACGUAAGAGAUUGAAGAAGCCCCCAUAAAAUAAUGGAUUAUUAUCGGACUUUUAGUCCAAAUAACAGUAGUAAUAAUUGAAGAAGCCUCUAUAUAGUCAGUCCAUGUUUGGAAAGAUAGAUUCCGCUGCCUUGAAUUGAAUACACUACACAAUGACGCACAUGGCAGACCCCAAGUGUCCCCUCCCACCAAUUUUUUUAAUAACAAGUACGCCAUGCUUUAUUAAUUCUCUUUAUUAUAGUUUCUUCAAAAUUUCCCCCCUAACCAUGGCAUAAAAUAAUAAUAAUUUUUACCUAUUUCAUUUUCUUUAAGGUGAUUAAUAUAUGUUUUCAUAACCAGGUUAAGUUGGGUAUGUGUUAAUUCGUGUUUAAAUCGAUCUUUUAGUCCGGUUGAAUGGGUCCGUUUCGAUUCUUUAUUCAAUCAUUUUAAAAUUUUUCAAAUCAGCACUUCAAUUGACUGUUGAUUCAAUUGAUUUGGCCGAUUGAUUUGAUUCGAUUUAGAUAAUAUUAGAACAAAUUAAUUUAAUGUUAUAGAGUGUAUCAUAAUUACUAAAACAUGUUUGUAGACAACUAAAACUUUUAAAAGUAUCAUAAAUCAUAAACUCAUUUGUUACACAUCAUUUGAUAUUAUAGAAAAUUAAAUAUAGUUGUUUUAUGUUGAAAGUUAAAUAUUUUUUAAAUACAAGUUAAUAAUUUUAAUUUGUAAUGUUAUUCAAUGAUAAUAACUUGUACGAUAUUAGUUUGAAAUUAUCUAUUGCAUUUGAAGGACUAACAGAUAUACAAAUUAAUUUUCAUUAAAGUAAUACGGCAGUGACCAUCGACUCUGGCUGUUAUCACUACACCAAUAUAGGCUUUUAGCGGCGGUUUUAGCGGCGUUUAGAUGAAAAACGCUGCUAAAGUUAGAUCAUUAGCGGCGCAAAACGAAAAACGCCGCUGAAAAUAAGAAUUAGCUGCGUUUUCCAGAAAGCGCCGCAAAAACCAAAGCCCAACGACGCCGUUUCCGAGCUUUUGGGGAUUUAGCGACGUUUUUAAUCAAGCGCCACUAAUAAUCCUAAGCCAAACGGUGCCGUUUCCGUAGUUUUUGGGAUUUAGCGGCAUUUUUGGGGAAGCGCCGCUAAAAAACCUAAGCCAAACGGUGUCGUUUUCUCAGCUUUCGUGGAAUUAGCGGCGCUUUGACGAAAGCGCCGCUAAUGUUCAGGGAUUUAGCGGCUUUUUAGGAAAGUGCCGCAAAAAAACAUAUGUCCAAUGGCACCGUUUUCAGAUCUUUCGAGGCCUUAGCGGCGUUUUUAAUGAAGCGCCGCUAAUGCUUGGGGGUGCCCAACGGCACCGUUUUCUUAACUUUCAGUGGAUUUAGCGGCGUUUUCUAAGAAAGCGCCGCUAAUGCUUCCUUUAGCGGCGUUUUUCGGAAAGUGCCGCUAAUGCUCAGGGGUUUAAAAUAUUUUAAAAUAUUCGUUAAAAAUGGAAAAAUUAAAAUACUAUUAUUUAAAAUAAUUUUAAAGUUUUUUGGAUACAUUACUGAUUUUUUUAGAUUAUAUAUUAAAUAAUUUCUUAUAUAAUCGUAAAAGAGAUAGUAUUAAUUUUAAAAUAUUGAAUUAAUUAUCUCUAUAGUAUACGGUUUAGAGUUUAAAGAGUAGUCUAGGGUAUGGAUUUAGGGUUUGUGAUUUAAAGUUUAGGGGUUAGGUAUUAUGCUUUAGGGGUUAGGGGAUUUAGGGGUUACGAUUAGGGUUUCAAUGCAUAUCAAAGUGUUAAGUAAAAUCUAUCGUUUUAUUUUAGGUUUUAGGGUUUAAAAUUUAAGAUUUAAUGUCUACGGUUUAGGGUUUAGGGUUUAUGGUAUACUGUUUAUUAAUUUGGGUUAAGUGUUUAUGUGUUAGAGAUUGAGUUUGGGGUUUAAGGUUUGAGUUUAGGGUUUUAGGGUUUAGUUUGAAAAUUGAAGAACAUUUGGAUUUUACUCGGAUUCAUGCCAUUUUGUACUACAACCAUAUAUAUAAUAUAAUAAUAUAAAAUAUAUGUCUUGUACUACACUAACACUGGCCACACGAAUUCCAAAAAAUAUGGUUUAGGUUUACAGUUUAGGGUUUACAGUUUAGAGUUUAGAGUUUUAGGUUUGGGGUUUAGGAUUUAUGAUUUAAGGUUUAUGGUAUAUUGACGGUCGAAUUUUGGGGUUUGGUUGUUGGGUUUAGGGGUUAGAUUUUUAGAAUAUAAAUGUAAAUNNNNNNNNNNNNNNNNNNNNNNNNNNNNNNNNNNNNNNNNNNNNNNNNNNNNNNNNNNNNNNNNNNNNNNNNNNNNNNNNNNNNNNNNNNNNNNNNNNNNNNNNNNNNNNNNNNNNNNNNNNNNNNNNNNNNNNNNNNNNNNNNNNNNNNNNNNNNNNNNNNNNNNNNNNNNNNNNNNNNNNNNNNNNNNNNNNNNNNNNNNNNNNNNNNNNNNNNNNNNNNNNNNNNNNNNNNNNNNNNNNNNNNNNNNNNNNNNNNNNNNNNNNNNNNNNNNNNNNNNNNNNNNNNNNNNNNNNNNNNNNNNNNNNNNNNNNNNNNNNNNNNNNNNNNNNNNNNNNNNNNNNNNNNNNNNNNNNNNNNNNNNNNNNNNNNNNNNNNNNNNNNNNNNNNNNNNNNNNNNNNNNNNNNNNNNNNNNNNNNNNNNNNNNNNNNNNNNNNNNNNNNNNNNNNNNNNNNNNNNNNNNNNNNNNNNNNNNNNNNNNNNNNNNNNNNNNNNNNNNNNNNNNNNNNNNNNNNNNNNNNNNNNNNNNNNNNNNNNNNNNNNNNNNNNNNNNNNNNNNNNNNNNNNNNNNNNNNNNNNNNNNNNNNNNNNNNNNNNNNNNNNNNNNNNNNNNNNNNNNNNNNNNNNNNNNNNNNNNNNNNNNNNNNNNNNNNNNNNNNNNNNNNNNNNNNNCGCUUUAGCUAAAGCGCCGAAAAAUUGUUUAAUGUUAUCUUAUAACGGUGCCGUUUUGUCCUUGUUAUUAGUGGCGCAUUUGAAAAUCGCCGCAAAAGGUGAUAUAUUACCGGCGUUUUAUGAAGAAACGCCACAAAUUUCCUUUAACCGUAACGAAGACGGUGCCGUUUUGUUGUUUUCUUUUAGUGGCGCAUUUUAAAAACGCCACAAAUAUUUAUUACGAGCUGAGGAAACGGCGCCAUUUCCUAUUUUUAUUAGUGGCGCUUUAGCUGAAGCGCCGCAAAAAUGAUGUUAUCUUAUGACGAUGCCGUUUUGUCUGUGUUAUUAGUUGCGUUUUUACUCUAAGCGCCACAAGUUUUACUCUAAAAUGUGUUAAACGACUGCGUUUGUACUGAUAUUAGUGACGCUUAUUGUUAAGCGCCGCAAAUGAUUUCAAUUUCAUAGAAAAACGUCAUCGUUUUUUCCCAUACAUUUUACCGAAACUUAGAGCCCCAAUCGUGACUUAUCCCCCAAAAUCCCAUUCUCCCCCAAAUCCCUAAAUUUCCCCUAAUCCAGAUUUCCCCAAAGCCGACCUUUUGCAACGUUGCCAUUUCCUCUGGCGCAUCACCGUCUCCCUCCGUCGGUCCCCUCUACCCCCAUACAUUUAACCGAAACUUAAACCCCAACUAUUGUGACUUAUCCCCAAAAUCCAUUUCUUCCUGAAAUAUUGAGAAAUUUCCCCUAAUCCACAUUUCCCCAAACCCGACCUCUUGCAACGUUGCUGUUUCCUCUGGCGCAUCACCGUCUCCCUCCGUCGGUCUCCUCUACCGCAACAAUCGGUAAGUUUUUGUGAUAUCUUCUGCUGCAAAAUAUCCGUCUGUACUUGCUUCUUCUUCUUCCUGCCCUAAUUACGAUAUUUUAAAUUGUUGUAAUUUAAUUUAAUUACUUUUAAAGUGUGCAUUAUGUAACAGAUAAGCUAUGUAUACCUCUUGCAUCCGUAAAAAAUGAUGCAUUAGUUUCUGACGAUUUUUUUCAGUUGCAUUUACAUGGCAGUNNNNNNNNNNNNNNNNNNNNNNNNNNNNNNNNNNNNNNNNNNNNNNNNNNNNNNNNNNNNNNNNNNNNNNNNNNNNNNNNNNNNNNNNNNNNNNNNNNNNUUAAUCGGUAUUUUACGGUGUUAAUUAUUUAUUUUAGCAAUACAAAUAAUUAUAUUAAAUAUUAAAUAUCAAUGUUAAACACUGCAGAGGGAUUAAAAUUGGAAUUUUACCUAAAAUUGCCAUUUGAAUUUAGUGUUGUUAAAAUUUAGCCAGAAUAAGCUUAGAAUUAGGUUGGACAGAAAGCAAUGGAAUGGAGCUAUUUUGACCAAUUUAUUUAUAUUUCUAGGUGAAAGCCCAUCAAAUAUUGAAAACUUGACCACUUUCGAAGCUGCGGUUAGAUUCUAAUAACAAGUUAUCAAGUAUAAUAUCAAUUUUCUGCUUUUUGUUCUUACAUUAUGCAAUAUCGUUUUUCAUAACUUGCAUAAUUUGAGCAUCAUUUUAUGAUAAAUUUGAGCUUUGCUUUAUGAUAAAAGUUGCAAAUUGAGGGGAUGUGGUUUUUAAAAAAACAUGAAGCUUUAGGCAAAUGGUUAAGAAAAAAUACGGCCUACUAUUAAAAAAAAGAUGAGCCUUGUUUGUUGAUAGCAGUAGCCAUUGCUAGUGGUUCAUUGUAAAAUAUGAGUGUUUUGAACAUUGUUAUGUAAUGACACAGUUGAGCUUAUAGGUAAUGGCUUAUUUUAAGAGAACCCAAAUGGACUGUCACGUAUUAUCAAAUUGCCGUCAUUCUUGUAAAAAUUAAAUUAUACACAUUUUGUUGGUGCAACAAUAGAUGGUGUGCUUUGCAAUAUAAUUUCAGAUGUUGAGACAUCUUUUUCCAUGUACCUUGUAAAUCGAAAUCUUUUUUACAUUAUACAAGAUAAGGUCACAUUUCAUUGAGACUUCUUUAGUUGAUAAUGUGAUGGCAAUUUCGGCUACAUACUUUUUAAAAAUAAUUAUAUUCAAUAGUGAUCAUUUAAAUCAAAUAUUUAGGGAUAAUACCAUGUUGUGCGAAUGUCAAAGGCACACCUCACUAGCACUGUUAUAUUCACUUUUUUAAUUUCAGUUUACAACUAUAUGAACUAGCAUAAUUAAAAUCAAUCAUUAUAAAUACUAAUUAAAUAAUUUAUUUAACAAUUUGUGAAAUGACAGUAAUUGUUGUUAAAUUAAAAGCAUUAAAGGCAGAUUAACCCUAAAUUUUAAGCUAUAUAUGCUAGUAAAAAAUAUAUACUUGGUCCAAAUAUAUUUAUUUUGUAAUGCCAAAUCAAAGUAUUAUUUCUUUAAUAACAAAAGUUGUUUUGAUAAAUAUAAAAAAAUUAAUUGUAAAUAUAAAUGCCAAGUCAAAGUCUUUUUGAUAAAUUUUAACUUAUUUUGAUCUUUGAAUUAAUAAAAGCUCAAAAAUAUAUCAUAUCAAAACUUGUAUUUUAAUUUAAUACAUAAUUUACAUAACUCACAUAACUUACAAAAGUCACAUACAUACAUAACUUAAUAAAUGGUACAUAGCUUAUAUAACUUACAUAAUACAUAACUUAAAUAAAUACAUAACUUAUUUAAUACAUUACUUACAUAAUAACUUACAUAGCUUAUAUAACUUACAUAACUUAUAUAACUUACAUACUCCAUAACUUACAUAAUUUACUUAAUACAUAAUCAACAUAUAUUAUAUCUUAACUUACAUAAUAACUUACAUAGCUUAUAAUAACCUACAUAACUUACAUAAUACAUAACUUACAUAUCUUUUAUACUAUAUACAUAACUUACACAAUUUACUUAAUACAUAACUUACAUUGAGAAAAAUAUUAACUUACAUAAUAACUUACAUAGCUUAGUUAUACUUAUCCCUAAAUCCUAAAUCCUAAACCCGUGCAAUUUUUUGUCAACGUCAGACUUCAAUAAUUAAGAAAUGGACCGGUCUUAGAUGAAUUUGUCAAGGGUAAGCAACGGCUAUCGAAAUGGAGUAUAGACGUUUCUAAAUUUUGCAUUUCAAUACGCAAGCCAAGAGAACAUGAUUCUUUGCCCCUGUAAAAAUUGUGUCAACAUAAACUGGCAUUAUCGUGAGGUUGUAUAUGAGCAUCUAAUUGUUGAUGGGUUUGUUCGGGGUUAUAAACAAUGGUUAUUUCAUGGAAAAUGCCCGCCUAGUACUUCCUCUUCAAGGAUGGAUGUAACUUAUCCUAAUACUGCUUACAAUCAGUCUGAUAGAGGGGAUAACAUGGAAGGUAUGUUGCGGGAUGCAUUUAAUAUGCACAAUCAUGGUGUCCAGUCAUUCCCAGCGGACUUUGUGGCCUCUGAUGAUUGUAAUAUUGGUGGAAAUGCUUUUACCGAACAGGGAAGUAGUGUACGUCAUAAAGAGCCGAAUGGAGAAGCGGCGAAGUUCUACGCGCUACUUAAUGACAUGAAUGAAGAACUAUAUGAGGGAUCAAAUUUUUCAAAAAUGUCCUUCUGUGUUCGUCUUUUUCAAUUAAAGUGUUUGGGAGGGUGGACCGGAAACUCGUUGACAAUGCUGUUAGAGUUUUUGAGAGAAAUGUUUCCGUUUGCAAAAAUCCCUCGGUCAUGCAAAGAUAUGAAGAAAAUGAUAAAAGAUUUAAGCAUUGGGUAUAACAAAAUCCAUAGUUGCCCAAAUGACUGCAUGUUGUAUUGGGGCGAUCGGAGAAGCCAACAGUGCUGUCAUGUAUGCGGCCACUCCCGUUGGAUAAGUAGAAACACAGAAGAUGGGAACGAUGAUGAAAAUAAUGCACAGUCACGGAAGAAGCCAGUCAAGAUUUUGCGGUAUUUUUUGUUGAUACCAAGGCUUCAAAGGCUUUUCAUGUCGUCGAAGACAGCAGAGUCAAUGACGUGGUAUCAUGAUGGACGAACCGAUGAUGGAUUACUAAGGCAUCCGGCAGAUUCUUUAGCUUGGAAAUCAUUUGACAAUAAAUUUCCAAGCUUCGCAAGCGAUCCUAGGAGUGUGAGGCUUGGGCUAGCAGCUGAUGGAUUUAAUCCUUUCAAGAUCAUGAGCACUGCCUACAGUACUUGGCCAGUAGUGCUUGUUCCUUACAAUCUGCCUCCGUGGAUUUGCAUGAAAUAAUCUUCCCUUAUCUUAUCUAUGAUUAUCCCUGUAGAGAAAGGGCCCGUGAAUGAUAUCGACAUUUAUUUACAGCCACUUAUUGAAGAGUUAAAACAAUUGUGGGCUGGUGUCGAGACAUACGAUGUGCUGAGAAAGGAGAACUUUAAUUUACGUGCAACUUUGAUGUGGACCAUUAAUGACUUUCCCGCUUAUGCUAAUUUAUCCAGUUAGAGUACCAAGGGCCGUUAUGCGUGUCCUUGUUGUGCUGCACAAACAUGUUCGCAAUGGUUGUACAAUGGGAAGAAGUUCUCUUACAUAGGGCAUCGUCGGUGGUUACCGAAAAAUCAUAGAUUUAGAUUUCAGAGUUCUGUAUUUGACGGUACUGAAGAGUUCAGAGAAGCUCCUUCGCAGACCCCUGGCUCUGAAAUCUUGUUCAUGUUGGAAGAUAUGAAUUUCAUUUAUGGGAAGAUGAACCAACCACCAAACACGCAAAGAAAUAGAAGAUCAAAUGAUGAAGCUGAUGAUGACUCUGAUGAAGAGGACGAUCCUAAUGAGGCGGACUUGUGGAAAAAAAAGAAGUAUUUUUUUUAGUUGCCUUGUUGGGAGCAUCACCUUUUACGACACAAUCUUGAUGUUAUGCACAUUGAAAAAAAUGUUUGCGAGAACAUUGUGGGUACAAUUUUGAAUGUCGACGGAAAAUCAAAAGACAAUCUUCAGAGUCAACUUGAUUUAGUCCAAAUGGGAAUCCAACCUGAUCUUCAUCCCAAUCCACUUCCAAAUGGGAAAUAUCGGUUGCCGCCUUCUAUUUUUUCAAUGUCGAAGACGGAAAAAGAAGUGUUCUGCACGGUGUUGAAGGAUAUAAAGGUUCCAGAUGCGUAUGCAUCAAAUAUAUCUCGAUGUGUUAGUGUUAAAGAUCAAAGAUUAUAUUCGCUAAAAUCAUAUGACUAUCACAUCUUGAUGCAAGAUUUACUGCCAGUGGCUCUACGAUGUUGUAUGUCCAAGAAGGUGACGUCUUGUAUAAUUGAACUAUCCAACAUAAUGAAAGCCAUUUGUGGCAAAGUUUUGGAUGUUCAAGAACUUCAGAAGGUACAGGAUCGAGCCGCUUUGACUUUAUGCAACAUGGAGAAAAUCUUCCCACCUUCCUUCUUCACCAUUAUGGUUCACUUGAUAAUCCAUCUCCCGCACGAAGCAAUUCUUGGCGGACCCGUUUUCUAUCGAUGGAUGUAUCCCAUAGAAAGGUGUUAAUUAAAAUUUUUAAAAUUUUCCUUCAUUCACCUCUAUGCCUUUAGUUACAACUUUUGAUAAUGUUGUAUAUUGUGUUUAGGUUCCUAUCCAAAUUAAAGUCUUACUGCCGCAACAAUCGAUAUCCAGAAGGAUCGAUUGCUGAAUGCUACUUAGCAGAGGAAUGUAUGACCUUCUGCUCAAUAUAUUUGGAAGAUGUUGAAACAAUGUUAAACAGACCAAAUAGGAAUGCUGGACUCACGGACCAUAACUUAGCCGAUACUUAUUUGUUCCAAAGUUUUGGAGAACCAAUCGGCAAAGUUGAAAUUACAGAAUUAGAUCAUUUAUCGUGGGUACAAGAACAUCGAUAUGUUCUGUUUCACCACGAAUCAUUGGAACCUUUACGGAAGUAAGUUCUACAAAUUUGUUAAAUAUUUAUCAAACUAAUAACUGUUUAUCUUCUAACAAAGUGAACAUUUUUUUAACAUAGUGAGUACAAAAAUAUUGAGAUCUCGUUCGCGCUCCCGAAGAACACAACAUCGAGAUAUCAAUAAGUUGUUUACAGAAUCUUUUUAUGAAUGGUUAAGCCAAACGGUAUGCAGUUGGAGCUUCCGCUUACAAAUAAUAAUGUUUUCUCAUAACAUUUUUAAUUACUCAGUUUACUUUCCAUUCAAUAGGUUUGGAGUGGGAAGAACGUAAACGAUGAAGUUAAAUGGCUCUCCCAAGGUCCAAAUCGAGUGGUUAAAAGAUAUAGUGCGUUCCUCAUCAACGGAUUCAGAUUUCAUACAAAAUAUCGCGAGAGGUUGAGGAGAAUGCAAAAUUGUGGAAUAGUUGUUAAUUCUGCAAUUACAAGUUAUGCUAGUGCUAGGGACAAUAAUCCUGUCGAGGGAAAUGUGGAAUAUUUCGGACAUCUUACUGACAUAAUUGAGUUGGAUUACUACGGCAAAUGGAAAGUUAUCUUAUUUCGGGGUGAUUGGGCCGAUGUUAAUACAGCUCGUGGAAUUAAGCAAGAUCAAUUUGGUUUUACAAUGGUGAACUUUGACCGAUUGAUUCACACAGGACAACAACUGAUAGAUGAGCCGUAUGUAUUCUCAUCUCAAGUCAAACAAGUUUUUUACUCAAAAGAUCCAAUUGAUGAGGGUUGGUAUGUUGUACUCCGUAACAUCCCUAGAGACUUGUUUGACAUGGGCAGUGGAAGUAGAGAUAACAUCGACGACAGAUCAGAAACUUUGCCCUUUCCAGAGCAAAACUUAAACGAUAAUAUCCCUAGUACUAGUGCACAAUUUCAAUGGGUUCGUCAGGAUACCGAUGAAGAUAUUUACGAAUAAUGAUGUAGUAAGAUUUUACGAUUUUUUAAACUUAUAUAACUUACAUUAGUAUUAAAUCUUGGUCUUAUUAUAUAUUUCAACUAUUUUAUAUGUGUUGUUAUUGUUGUAAUUAGUUAUUAAGUUUAAUUACAUUUUAUGUGUAUUGCAGAUAAAAUGCCUAGAAGAAAAAUUAUAAGGGAAAGCAUUGUUCAAAAUGAUCCAAACUCGACAGAAACAAAUAGUACUGAAUAACAGACAGCAAUUGGAUCUUCGAAUGUUCCGAUUAUACCUGAGGAUCCUACGGAAGUUCAAAGUAAUUUUACAUUUAAUUUACAUGCGUGUUGACUUAUAAUUGAUUUAUUUUUCAAAUUCUUAUAUUAUAAUAUACCAUUUGUAGGUGAAAAAGGUUGGACGCGUAGAGGUCGAGGACGUACGCUACUUAGAGAGUUAUACAAGUUAGAUCCAGUCGAGCAUGUCAAGGUAUGCAGAAACAGUUUUGGUCAGCCUGUUGGAUCUGAAGCUCGACUUUUAGCAGGAUACAUGGGCAUUUUAGCACGAAAUGUGAAUAUGUUGCCUAUCAACUACGAGUCAUGGCGUCAAAUGCCCGAUAGCAACAAAAACCAAGCCCUCGAUAAUAUUAAGGUAACAAAAUGUUAAUGUCAUCUGUAAUGCUUGGGAAAUAGUUUCAUUUAUAUUUACUUUAUUAACUUGUGUUUUUUGUAGGCGAGGUUUGCUUUAGAGGUCUCGGAUGCUUAUGUAAAGAAGGCAUUGGGAAAAAGAUGGAGAGACAAUAAAAGUACUUUGAAGAAAAAUUAUUAUAAGACAAAAACAACCCUCGAUGAGAAAUUGCAAAAUGUCCCGCCGGGUAUGUUGAGGUACCAAUGGGAAGAUGCGGUUAGAUUUUGGCAUUCUGAGAAAGGCGAGGUAUGACGUACUUCCAAACUAUUGUAAUUAUUUUAGUUUAUAGUAUUUACUAUUUACGUACUAAAAAUUUUAUAACGUAGGAUCAUGAACGAGUUGGAAAAAGCAGCCGGCAGCAACAAAAAUUCACUCACACAGCCGGGUCGAGAAGUUUUGCAUGUGUAGCUGAGGCGGAGGUAUUUUUAAUUUUUUAAUAUUCUCAAAUAUGUAUAACUUUCUAUUAAAUAAUAUUUUUACUACUAUAUUGUAGGAACGGUCGUCCGGUCAAAAAGUUGGACGCCUUCAACUUUUUGAAAUUACACAUAAGAAGAAAGAUGGAUCUGCUAUGACUCCUGAAGCUGGUGAAAUUAUGGUACGUUUACUUAAUACGAUUUGACUUGUUUUAGUUAUUUAUAGUGUUUAUUUUCUAAUGGUUUAAUUCAUUGCUUGUAAUGCGACUAUUGUUAUAUUGCAUUUGUUUUUUUAAUAUAUAUUGCGUUCUUUUAGGAAAAACUAAAGGAACAAAAGACGGAGUACGAAGUGAUUGCUUCUAGUGAUAGUUCUGUUCAUCUUGAAGACAUUGAUAACUGGAUUAUUACUGAAGUUUUGGGUCCUGAAAAGUAUGGUCGAGUUCGAUUUCAAGGAUCUUUUAUCAACCCAACCCAAUAUUUUGGAUCCAGCUCGCACCAAUACAUGGCUUCGAGGAGUCAAUCUCAAGUUGAAGUUCAGAGGUUAAAAGACCAGAUGGCUCAGAUACAAGCAACCACAUUUGAGGUUCAAAGGAAAUAUGAAGAACUUCAGCAACUUAAAACAGAGGCGGCAGCGAGGGAAGCAAAGGCUACAGCGAGAGAAGCAGAGGUUGCAGCAAGAGAAGCAGCGAGAGAAGCAGCGAUAGAAGCAGAGGUUCAAAAGAAAUAUGAAGAACUAUAGCUACGACUUCAAAAAGAUAUGGCAUCGAGAGAAGCAGAGCAGAGCAAAAAGUACGACGAACUUCAACAACAGCUUCAGAUUAUGAUGAAGAUGUUUCAGCAGUCGCAACUCCUGUCGUCAUAGUGUAUGUUGCAUAAAUAUUUUUAUCAUUUUAACUUUUAACGUUUUUGUAAAGAAAAGUAUGAAUUCACUUUUAUUUAUAUCAAUUAAUAUUAUUUGUCAUUUAAUUUGAAAUAUUAUAUAAAUUUAUUGUUUUUGGUUAGUUUAGAUCUGGUUGUUUUUGAUUUGUUGUUGCAGGAGGGCUGAAAAAAACAGAAAAUUUUAUUUUAAAAAAAUCCCAAAAUUAGUGGCGUUUUUUAAAAAAGCGCCGCUAAAAGUCAUAUCAAAUAGUGGCGUUUGUGAAAUAAGCGCCGCUAAAGAAUACUACUUUUAGCGGUGUUUUUGACCAAGCGCCGCUAUAGAACAUUACUUUUAGCAGCGUUUUCUUCCUAAGCGCCGCUAAAGAACAUGAUCUUUAGCGGCUUUUUUCCUAAGCGCCGCUAAAGAACAUGAUAUUUAGCUGCAUUUUUUAAUAAGCGCCGCUAAAGAAAAUAAUCUUUAACGGCGUUUAUUUCCUUAGCGCCGCUAAAGAACAUGAUCUUUAGCGGCGUUUUUUUUCUGUAAGCGCCGCAAAAGUUAGCGACGUUGUCGUUAACGGCAUUUUUUGUGGCGCUUCUUCAAGUGCCGCAAAUGCCUUUAGUGGCGUUAAGAAGCGCCGCUAAAGGCCUAAAAAAACGCCGCUAAAAACAUGUUCUGGUGUAGUGUAUGCUCGUGGUUAGCUCUCUCGUUGGACUUGAAUUUCAGCAAGUUACAAGUCUACAACUACGUGCUUUAACUUCAUUAUUUUAGAAAAGUAGACCAUUGGCUCUGUGCUACGUACGUAGUAGGAGUACUAUAAAUUAUGGCCACUUCACAGCAAUAUUAUUGCAGUUCCUGGUUGGUUACCUCUGUGUUUUCAACUUAAAAUUUCUUGGUUUUCCUCAAGAAGGAAGAAGAUGUUGCAAAUAGCUUUCAGCUCGUAUUCAUGGCUGUUGACUGCUAGCCACCAGAAAGAUGGAAUGUUGUUCCCAGUAGCUUUGUCAUUUUUGGUAGCCAUAUUGGGCAUUUCAUUGUGGCACGUAUGGACCAUAAGAAAGCCAAAGAAAGACAUCGCCCCAUUACCGCUGGGUCCCCGUGGGUUGCCAAUAGUGGGAUAUCUUCCAUAUCUUGGAACUGAUAAUCUUCACUUAGUGUUUACAGAUUUGGCUGCAGCUUACGGUCCCAUCUACAAGCUUUGGCUCGGAAACAAAUUAUGUGUAGUCAUUAGCUCGGCACCACUAGCGAAAGAAGUGGUUCGUGACAACGACAUCACAUUUUCGGAGAGGGAUCCUCCCGUUUGUGCAAAGAUUAUUACCUUUGGCCUCAAUGAUAUUGUAUUUGAUUCUUACAGUAGUCCAGAUUGGAGAAUGAAGAGAAAAGUGCUGGUACGUGAAAUGCUUAGCCAUAGUAGCAUUAAAGCUUGUUAUGGUCUAAGGAGGGAACAAGUGCUUAAAGGCGUACAAAAUGUUGCUCAAAGUGCUGGCAAGCCAGUUGAUUUUGGUGAAACGGCAUUUUUAACAUCAAUCAAUGCGAUGAUGAGCAUGCUGUGGGGUGGCAAACAGGGAGGAGAGCAGAAAGGGGCCGACGUUUGGGGCCAAUUUCGAGAUCUCAUAACCGAAAUAAUGGUGAUACUUGGAAAACCAAACGUUUCUGAUAUUUUCCCGGUGCUUGCAAGGUUUGACAUACAGGGAUUGGAGAAGGAGAUGACUAAAAUCGUUAAUUCUUUCGAUAAGCUUUUCAACUCUAUGAUUGAAGAAAGAGAGAACUUUAGCAACAAAUUGUGCAAAGAAGAUGGAAACACUGAAGCAAAAGACUUCUUGCAGCUUCUUUUGGACCUCAAGCAGAAGAACGAUAGCGGAAUAUCGAUAACAAUGAAUUAAGUCAAGGCCUUGCUCUUGGUAAGCUUCUUCAUCUAUCAUACUGCAUAGAUCAUCUUUCUUUUUUAUUACCUUAUUUUCUUGGGAUGCUAAUAAGUUUUUUUUUAAUCAGGACAUUGUGGUGGGUGGAACUGAUACAACAUCAACCAUGAUGGAAUGGACAAUGGCUGAACUAAUUGCAAAUCCUGAAGCAAUGAAAAAGGUGAAGCAAGAAAUAG
rnacentral:lncRNA from 1 species